CCUUCGGGUCGUAAACGGCUGUCACUCGGGACGAAUUUUGACGGUACCGAGAGAGGAAGCCACGGCUAACUACGUGCCAGCAGCCGCGGUAAUACGUAGGUGGCGAGCGUUAUUCGGAAUUAUUGGGCCUAGAGGGUUCGUAGGGGGUAAUGUAAGUCCGGUGUGAAAUCUCGAGGCUCAACCUCGAAACUGCAUUGGAAACUGCGUUACUUGAGUGUCAGAGAGGAAAGCGGAAUUCCUGGUGUAGCGGUGGAAUGCGUAGAUAUCAGGAAGAACACCGACGGCGAAGGCAGCUUUCUGGCUGACAACUGACCCUGAUGAACGAAAGCUAGGGUAGCGAACAGGAUUAGAUACCCUGGUAGUCCUAGCUGUAAACGUUGUGCACUGGAUGUGGGCGGAUUUGGUCCCGUCUGUGUCUGAGCGAAGGCGUUAAGUGCACCGCCUGGGGACUACGGCCGCAAGGCUAAAACUCAAAGGAAUUGACGGGGGCCCGCACAAGCGGUGGAGCAUGUGGCUCAAUUCGAGGCAACGCGAAGAACCUUACCUGGGUUUGACAUAUACCUGACCGCCGGUGAGAGCCGGUUUCUCUUUGAGCAGGUAUACAGGUGCUGCAUGGCUGUCGACAGCUCGUGCUGUGAAGUGUUCGGUUAAGUCCGGCAACGAGCGCAACCCACGCUGUUAGUUACCAUCAGGUGAAGCUGGGGACUCUAACAGGACUGCCCGUGCUAAGCGGGAGGAAGGCGUGGACGACGUCAAGUCCGCAUGGCCCUUACGCCCAGGGCUGCACACGUGCUACAAUGGCCGGUACAGAGGGUCGCCACUCUGCGAAGAGGAGCUAAUCCCGAAAACCGGCCCCAGUUCGGAUUGGAGUCUGCAAUUCGACUCCAUGAAGUAGGAAUCGCUAGUAAAGGCGUAUCAGCAACGGCGCCUUGAAUCUGUUCCCGGGCCUUGUACACACCGCCCGUCACAUCAUGGAAGCCGGCUGCACCCGAAGUCGC
rnacentral:rRNA from 1 species